UUUUGCAGUAAUGAGGGCAGGCGGUAUAGGGCGUCUCCCAACUUCCCUGUUCGUUUUCAUCCAUCUGAUGUAAUCGAAUUUGGUUCUGAUAAAAAGGCAGCUUUCCGCGUAAAGGCGAUGAAGUUUCCACCAAAGUCUACCAAUGCGAAGACAGACAAUGAAGUUCUUCAGACUGUAUGAAGAUUAAACUCAUUGAUUUAAGUUUACAGAGAAUUGUACAGCAUUUAUACUUAGCAGGUUAGCUGCUGCACAGGAUAUGAACUCAGGGGUUUAUAGAAGAAA